rnacentral:rRNA from 1 species
AUUAGCUACKUUCGGGAUGGAUAACCGCUGAAAGCAUCUAAGCGGGAAGCCGGCCUCAAGAUGAGACUUCCAUACCAUUUAUGGUGAGAGGCUCCCAGCCAGACUACUGGGUUGAUAGGCCGGAUGUGGAAGCGUAGUAAUACGUGAAGCUGACCGGUACUAAUAAGCCGAUGACUUGAUAACACACC